AGCAACGUGGUGUAGUGGUUUGAGUAUUGGACUGUGACUCUGGAGUCCAAGGUUCAAUUCCUAGCUCAGCCA